GUGCUCACUUAGGCAGCACAUAUACUAAAAGUGGAGUGAUACAGAGAACAUUAUAGCAUGGCCCCUGUGCAAGAAUGACAUGCCAAUUCAUGAAAAGUUCCUAUUUUAA
ensembl:snRNA U6 U6 spliceosomal RNA